rnacentral:rRNA from 1 species
AUUGAACGCUGGCGGCAGGCCUAACACAUGCAAGUCGAGCGGAUGAAGGGAGCUUGCUCCUGGAUUCAGCGGCGGACGGGUGAGUAAUGCCUAGGAAUCUGCCUGGUAGUGGGGGAUAACGUCCGGAAACGGGCGCUAAUACCGCAUACGUCCUGAGGGAGAAAGUGGGGGAUCUUCGGACCUCACGCUAUCAUAUGAGCCUAGGUCGGAUUAGCUAGUUGGUGGGGUAAAGGCCUACCAAGGCGACGAUCCGUAACUGGUCUGAGAGGAUGAUCAGUCACACUGGAACUGAGACACGGUCCAGACUCCUACGGGAGGCAGCAGUGGGGAAUAUUGGACACUGGGCGAAAGCCUGCUCCAGCCAUGCCGCGUGUGUGAAGAAGGUCUUCGGCUUGUAAAACACUUUAAGUUGGGAGGAAGGGCAGUAAGUUCAUACCUUGCUGUUUUGACGUUACCAACAGAAUAAGCACCGGCUAACUUCGUG